rnacentral:rRNA from 1 species
AAUCAACGCUGGCGGCGUGCCUCAGACAUGCAAGUCGAACGCGAAAGUUUCCUUCGGGGAACAAGUAGAGUGGCGCACGGGUGAGUAACACGUAGGUAAUCUACCUUUGGAUGGGGAAUAACAACCGGAAACGGUUGCUAAUACCGCAUAAUGCAGCGGCACCUAAUGGUGACAGUUGUUAAAGCGGGGGAUCGAAAGACCUCGCGUCUGAAGAGGAGCCUGCGGCGGAUUAGCUAGUGGUAAGGUAAUGGCUUACCAAGGCUACGAUCCGUAACCGGCCUGAGAGGGCGGUCGGUCACACUGACACUGACAUACGGGUCAGACUCCUACGGGAGGCAGCAGUCGGGAAUUUUGGGCAAUGGGCGAAAGCCUGACCCAGCAACGCCGCGUGAAGGAUGAAAUCCCUCGGGAUGUAAACUUCGCAAGAACGGGAAGAAUAAGUAGGGACAAUACCCCCUAUGAUGACGGUACCGUUAGUAAGCUCCGGCUAACUCCGUGCCAGCAGCCGCGGUAAG